rnacentral:rRNA from 1 species
UACAGAGGUCUCAAGCGUUGUUCGGAUUCAUUGGGCGUAAAGGGUGCGUAGGCGGCGCGGUAAGUCGGGUGUGAAAUCUCGGAGCUUAACUCCGAAACUGCAUUCGAUACUGCCGUGCUUGAGGACUGGAGAGGAGACUGGAAUUUACGGUGUAGCGGUGAAAUGCGUAGAUAUCCGGAGGAACACCGGUGGCGAAGGCGGCUUCCUGGACCGACACUGACGCUGAGGCGCGAAAGCUAGGGGAGCAAACGGG